rnacentral:rRNA from 1 species
ACACAUGCAGGUCGAGGGGUAACAGAUCUUCGGAUGCUGACGACCGGCGAACGGGUGAGUAACACGUAUGCAACUUACCCAUAACUCGGGAAUAGCCCAAAGAAAUUUGGAUUAAUACCCAAUAAUACAGGCGUACCGCAUGGUAUUCUUCGUUAAAGAAUAAUCGGUUAUGGAUAGGCAUGCGUUCUAUUAGGUAGUUGGUGAGGUAACGGCUCACCAAGCCGACGAUGGAUAGGGGAACUGAGAGGUUGUCCCCCCACACUGGUACUGAGACACGGACCAGACUCCUACGGGAGGCAGCAGUGAGGAAUAUUGGUCAAUGGACGAAAGUCUGAACCAGCCAAAUCGCGUGAAGGAAGAAGGUAUUAUGUAUCGUAAACUUCUUUUGUAAGAGAGUAAAGUGCACUACGUGUAGUGUAUUGCAAGUACCUUACGAAUAAGCAUCGGCUAAUUCCGUGCCAGCAGCCGCGGUAAUACGGAAGAUGCAAGUGUUAUCCGGAUUUAUUGGGUUUAAAGGGUGCGUAGGUGGUCUAAUAAGUCAGUGGUGAAAUCUCUUUGCUUAACAAGGAAAUUGCCAUUGAAACUGUUAGACUUGAGAAUGGACGAGGUAGGCGGAAUUCGUAGUGUAGCGGUGAAAUGCAUAGAUAUUACGAAGAACUCCAAUAGUGUAGACUGCUUACCAGACCAUAUCUGACACUAAGGCACGAAAGUGUGGGUAUCAAACAGGAUUAGAUACCCUGGUAGUCCACACAGUAAACGAUGAAUACUAACUGUUUGCGAUAUACAGCAAGUGGUCGAGCGAAAGCGUUAAGUAUUCCACCUGGGAAGUGUGCCGGCACGUGAAACUCAAAGGAAUGACGGGGCCCGCACAGCGAGGACAUGUGGUUAUCGAUAUACGCGAGAACUACCGGG